AGUGGCCCCCUGUGCAAUGUGUUGCGUAAACGUGCUUUGAAAUUUCUCCUUCCGUGGGACGUGGCCAGUUGGACAUCUGCCGCCAACACUGAUGUGCAUUUGCUGGUCUGUUGUAGGGUCUGAGUGCCCGGACCGCUUGGCUAUGGACUUUGGUGGGGCUGGUGCCGCCCAGCAAGGGCUGACUGACAGCUGCCAGUCUGGAGGUGGUAUUGGAUGCACACAGAAGGGGGAAAGAUGGGAUUUGACGGGUCUUUGCCCAGACUGAUGGGCUUUAAUUGUAUUUGUUCUUUCCCUAAGGCGUUCCCACAGCUGUGCAGAACUUAGCGCCACGCGCUGCUGUUGCUGCUGCUGCUCCCCGGGCUGUUGCCCCCUACAAAUACGCCUCCAGUGUCCGCAGCCCUCAUCCUGCCAUACAGCCUCUGCAGGUGAGGUUCACCAGACAGAAUGCUUAAAAGGAUUUCCCCCAUUUCCACUUGAUGUAAAAGAAGCUGUGCUUUUGAUUCCUUCAACAGGUAUUAAAUGCCUGCUCUGUGUUAUGACGCUAUGUUCUGAUUCACUGUCCCUGCCCUUCAGGGGCUCACUAGUGGGAAAGAAGGGGCUUAAAAGUGCUCUGCCUGAUGCCAGUUCACUCAGAAAUGCCUCAGAGCGGGCAGCCAGUGCUUCCUCUUCUGUUUGUACGAAAUAAUGUGCUCAUUCAGCUGUUUGAGCCUCCAGGUCACUUCCGCAUCCAAUGACCUAUUGGAUCCUUGGCUGCUCUGCAAGAUGAUUGGUACAUUAAUGCAGGAAAUAACUUCAACUUACAGAUCGGAUGUUCAGCUUCAAAGAUGUAAAGUGUGUGUAGGAGGUGAAGGGGUUGAACCUAGAGCUUAGAUUUUCUAAGCUGUAACUUGCUGUCUCUAGACCUGUGCUCUAGAUGCAACUAGUUUGUUUCAGAGCCUAAUAGCAAUUUGCUGUGGAGGUGUCACCCUAAGCCUUCAGGCCCAUAAGCUGCUUAGGAGAUUACUCUUUAACUGUCCUGUCUCAUACUCUCUAAGUUGGGGAUUUCCUAGAACUUGAUGCUAUGUAAAAUACCUUUUCUUUGCAAGGCUUUGACUAGCAUUGACGUUGCAUGUUGACCGUUUUUAAGCAUUUGAUACAAAAACAUUUGGUAGAAUUAAGGUGAUGUGGAAUGUAAUUAUAAAUGUGUUGAUAUUUACUCCCUUUGAUCCAAUCUGCACUGAGAUUUACCCUAAAGGAAAACUAAUUUUCAGGAAAAGGUUAUAUACAAGUGUUUACCCUUAUUUAUAUCAAGGCUUUUCAUUCUUGAGUAACUUUGGGUGUAUUAAGGAAAUGUCAGAAAAUGCUUGCCUAGCACUAUAGGUUUGUUUUAUUAUUUACGUUUCACUUCGCUUUCUGAUAGCAUGCCAUUUUCAUUGUAAUUGGUUGUGUUUAUGUCCAUACCACUCUGUUCCUCAACACACCCCUCAAUCCUUCAAGGACUGAAAUUAGUUCCUUUAGAGCAAGGACAGCCACCUCCUCUCCUCUUUCACAUAGUCAGAUGUUCAGAUAUUGAACAGGCACUCAACCACCAUCAGGUGUUGUCCUUUCCUCAGUGCUAACCCACUGCCUUUCCUGGUUCCCAGGCACCCCAGCCUGCGGUCCAUGUGCAGGGGCAGGAGCCACUGACUGCCUCCAUGCUGGCUGCAGCACCCCCCCAGGAACAGAAGCAGAUGCUGGGAGAACGCUUGUUCCCACUCAUCCAAACAAUGCAUUCAAAUCUGGCUGGGAAGAUCACGGGAAUGCUGCUGGAGAUAGACAACUCUGAGCUGCUGCACAUGUUAGAGUCCCCCGAGUCUCUCCGCUCCAAGGUGGAUGAAGCUGUAGCAGUUCUACAGGCUCAUCAUGCCAAGAAAGAAGCUGCCCAGAAGGUGGGCGCUGUUGCUGCUGCUACCUCUUAGACAAGGAAAAACCGAUUCAAAAGCCAAAUAACCCCUUAUGGAAUUCAACUCAAGGUUUGAAGACUUCCUAGCUUGUCCUAUGGACCUCAACACCAAGGAUUACAAAUUGCAAAUUUAAUAGGUCAUUUUGUAUCAAAAGGUCAAUUAUGAAGCACCUAGAAUUUUUCAAUUAUACGAAUAUGUUCUUUGGGUUCUGCUGUGGCCCAGACAGUGUUAACUUUUUUUUUAUUGUGGGUUUUGAUUUUUUCCCCCAGAAAUUGGUUUUAUUUGAUGUACCCAAGUCUUACGUUUCCCAAUAAAGAAAAAAAAUCUCCAUAAAA
rnacentral:lncRNA from 1 species